rnacentral:rRNA from 1 species
UACGGGGGGGGCAAGCGUUGUUCGGAAUCACUGGGCGUAAAGGGUGCGUAGGCGGGUCUUUAAGUCAGGGGUGAAAUCCUGGAGCUCAACUCCAGAACUGCCUUUGAUACUGAAGAUCUUGAGUGCGGGAGAGGUGAGUGGAACUGCGAGUGUAGAGGUGAAAUUCGUAGAUAUUCGCAAGAACACCAGUGGCGAAGGCGGCUCACUGGCCCGAUACUGACGCUGAGGCACGAAAGCGUGGGGAGCAAACAGGG